UUUCUCACUUCUCAGCCGCAACACUCACCCUCUCAACUCCCUCUCCCUCACGCUCGGCGAACAGCACGAACGACGAACGAUCGUGGGUAUUGGGAAAACGGUGGGGGCUUGAGGGCCGGUCAUGGGCAUACGACGCAAACGAUAAGGGUUCAGGGGUCUUGGCUGACUCGGUCUUGUGCAUGGGUCGUGGGUGGCUCAGUCUCGCAGAGGGGUCGUGGGUGAUGGUGUAGGUAGCGGCGUGACAAUGUGGCUGGGCUCGACGUCGUGGAUGUAGGCGCAAGCGGGGGGCUCGACAUCAUUGGCUCAAUCGACUGUAAGGCGUGGGGUGUCCAUGAGUGCUGGUUGGUAGGGGAUGAGGGCAUUGGAGGGUCACCAACAAAAUAAACCCCUCAUAUGUUCUGCAAAACUCUUACAACUUAUGAUACCAGUACGCAUGGAGGGUUCUCUGUUCCUCGAAGAGCUGCAGAUGACUGUUUUCCUCCACUGGAUUAUUAACAGAGGAAGCCCUCCCAAGAACUUGUUGCGAAGGACCUGCACGGGGUAGAGUGGAGAUUUUAACAUAUUUAUAGAGGUCAGCCAAGGAGACAUCUGUUGACUACAAGAUGGAGUAUUUUUAUAAACGAAAAGAAUCUAGUUUAAGGGGAUGCAAUGCUCUUUUUGAGGUAAUACAUGCUUUAUAGCUCUUUGUAACAUUGCUACAGAACACUGGUACCAUUAUUGUUUGAGUUGCAAGCUUGGUCCCAUUCUUUAUAUUGUAAGAUUCAACCAAAAAAGAAGGCAUUUUUGAACUUAAAUAAGCAUGUUCUUGUCAAGUAGGAAUAUUGGUGUUUUUUUCUUCCAUGUAUUAAAAGUGUUGUUGUGCCUUGUAGUACUUGUUUUCUUUCCCUUGUUUUUUUUCUGUAGUUUUUUUUUUUGUAUAUAUUUAAGAGGAAAAACACUUAUAUCUCAAAUGUAAUUAAGUGUCAAAUAUUAAUUGUAUCUAUUUGUAGCUAUUCUUAUAAUCCUCUCUCCUCAUGGUUUUUUCAAUAUUUUUGUGGUGUUGUUGAUGUUAUCGUGUAUCUCUUACUUGUUGCCUUUAGUGGUUAAUUUUGAUGUUUCAUAUGGUAACUUAUUUUAUUUUUCACUCUGAGUUUGGGUUGGGAAAGACUUGUUUUUUUUUUUUAUCCACAGUCUUUGGUCUUGCUGGUAAGGAUAGUGUGAGUUUUUUUUAUUCUAGAGUGGCUUAUGGUUGUUUGGGAGUGAGAGAUUGUAGCAAAAUACUGUUUUAGUUUGUAUCUGCUUUUCACUACCGAGAUCAUUAUUUAUCUCUUUGGUGUAAGGUUAUAGAUUUCGUCUUGUUGUUUUCUUGACUUUUUCUAAAUUUGGUUUGACCAAAAGUUUUGAUAUCUCUAUAGUAUUUUAAAAGAAUUCAAAUUGUCUCAAAUAAUCACAUAUUAAACAAUAGUUGACAUAAAUAGUCUACAAGAAAUAACUUGAAGAAAUGGGUUUUGUAUUCUUUUAAGAGUAUGGAUCAUUGUGUAUUUGUUUUCCUCAAUUUAAGCUUAUAUUAUGAUGAUUCAUUUUGUCCAAUUGAGUCUUGUGAUGGACCCAAAAUGAGUAUGUUUUAAAUAUUUAUA